rnacentral:rRNA from 1 species
AUGAAUUUUUUGGAAAGUCUAUUGGUUAAGACAAGGGGCUGGCAAGUAGGAGAGUUCUUUGUGAUCCGUGGUGAUAAUAAAUCUACUUCAGAAGAUAGAGAACUGACAAUGGAUCAGUUUAACAACACUAUUGAUGCAAAAGUCCUGUUUGGCUCUACCAAGGCAUGCAGGGAGGGCAUCUCCCUGGUGGGCGCAUCAAGAGUCUUCGUUCUAGAUGUUCACUUGAACCCUUCUGUUACCCGUCAGGCAAUCGAGCGGGCGUACUGGCCUGGGAAGCAAAAGGAAGUGUUGGCUCGUAGCAGCUGA